GUCGUAACAAGGUUUCCGUAGGUGAACCUGCGGAAGGAUCAUUAAUGAAUUUUACCAACAAAGUUGUCGCUGGCCUCCUGGGCAUGUGCACACUUUGUUAAUUCAUCCACACACCUCUGUGCACUUUUCAUAGAUUGACGUUAUAGUGGGCAACCGCUGGUCUCUCUGUGUACCUUUAACAAACAUCAGUUUAAGAAUGUACGCUUGCGAUAAUCGCAUUGAAAUACAACUUUCAGCAACGGAUCUCUUGGCUCUCGCAUCGAUGAAGAACGCAGCGAAAUGCGAUAAGUAAUGUGAAUUGCAGAAUUCAGUGAAUCAUCGAAUCUUUGAACGCACCUUGCGCUCCUUGGUAUUCCGAGGAGCAUGCCUGUUUGAGUGUCAUGUAUUCCUCAAUCUCUUCAGUUUAUUCUGAGGCAGAUUGGAUGUGGAAGCUGCUGGUUUGAGUCUGAAUCAGCUCUUCUUAAAUGCAUUAGUGUGAAUGUUACCAAGCGUUCUCCGGUGUAAUAAUUAUUUGCGCCGCUGGGACUUUGGUAGACUAUGCAUUCAUGCUUCUUAACCGUCUGUUAUAGACAAUACAUUUUGCGUUUGACCUCAAAUCAGGUAGGAUUA
rnacentral:rRNA from 1 species